rnacentral:rRNA from 1 species
AGAGUUUGAUCAUGGCUCAGAGCGAACGCUGGCGGCAGGCUUAACACAUGCAAGUCGAGCGGGCAUAGCAAUAUGUCAGCGGCAGACGGGUGAGUAACGCGUGGGAACAUACCUUUUGGUUCGGAACAACCCAGGGAAACUUGGGCUAAUACCGGAUAAGCCCUUACGGGGAAAGAUUUAUCGCCGAAAGAUUGGCCCGCGUCUGAUUAGCUAGUUGGUGAGGUAAUGGCUCACCAAGGCGACGAUCAGUAGCUGGUCUGAGAGGAUGAUCAGCCACAUUGGGACUGAGACACGGCCCAAACUCCUACGGGAGGCAGCAGUGGGGAAUAUUGGACAAUGGGCGCAAGCCUGAUCCAGCCAUGCCGCGUGAGUGAUGAAGGCCCUAGGGUUGUAAAGCUCUUUUGUGCGGGAAGAUAAUGACGGUACCGCAAGAAUAAGCCCCGGCUAACUUCGUGCCAGCAGCCGCGGUAAUACGAAGGGGGCUAGCGUUGCUCGGAAUCACUGGGCGUAAAGGGUGCGUAGGCGGGUCUUUAAGUCAGGGGUGAAAUCCUGGAGCUCAACUCCAGAACUGCCUUUGAUACUGAAGAUCUUGAGUUCGGGAGAGGUGAGUGGAACUGCGAGUGUAGAGGUGAAAUUCGUAGAUAUUCGCAAGAACACCAGUGGCGAAGGCGGCUCACUGGCCCGAUACUGACGCUGAGGCACGAAAGCGUGGGGAGCAAACAGGAUUAGAUACCCUGGUAGUCCACGCCGUAAACGAUGAAUGCCAGCCGUUAGUGGGUUUACUCACUAGUGGCGCAGCUAACGCUUUAAGCAUUCCGCCUGGGGAGUACGGUCGCAAGAUUAAAACUCAAGGAAUUGACGGGGCCCGCACAAGCGGUGGAGCAUGUGGUUUAAUUCGACGCAACGCGCAGAACCUUACCAGCCCUUGACAUCCCGGUCGCGGACUCCAGAGACGGAGUUCUUC